UUUUUUUUUUUCCUUUAGCUUUUGAUUUCUGAAGUCUGUAGGAAUUUUUCCUUUAGAAUGGUACUAGGGUGUAGUUCAGGAAUUGAAAUUCUGUGAACGUGUUGUGUAGGAGAAGGUUGUGAAGCUGUGGAUUUUGCUCCAACGGCCUAAAUCGUAUCAGUGGUUGUUUUUCGUCGGUGGUAAGUUUGUGUGCGUUAUUCAGAUUAUUGUUGUGGAGUUAGU
rnacentral:lncRNA from 1 species